rnacentral:rRNA from 1 species
CAGGCUUAAUACAUGCAAGUCGAGGGACAGCACAGGUAGCAAUACUGGGUGGUAACCGGCAAACGGGUGCGGAACACGUACACAACCUUCCUUUAAGUGGGGGAUAGCCCAGAGAAAUUUGGAUUAAUACCGCAUAAGACAGUAACUAGGCAUCUAGUAGCUGUUAAAGAUUUAUCGAUGUAAGCUGGGCAUGCGUCCAAUUAGUUAGUUGGCGAGGUAAUGGCUCACCAAGACGAUGAUUGGUAGGGGAACUGAGAGGUCAAUCCCCCACACUGGCACUGAGAUACGGGCCAGACUCCUACGGGAGGCAGCAGUAGGGAAUAUUGGGCAAUGGGCGCAAGCCUGACCCAGCCAUGCCGCGUGCAGGAAGAAGGCGUUAUGCGUUGUAAACUGCUUUUAUACAGGAAGAAACGACCCUUGCGAGGGGCAUUGACGGUACUGUAUGAAUAAGCACCGGCUAACUCCGUGCCAGCAGCCGCCGUAACAC